GACAGAGGGGGCAAGCGUUGCUCGGAAUUACUGGGCGUAAAGGGCGCGUAGGCGGGAUGGCAAGUCGGUCGUGAAAUCCCUCGGCUCAACCGAGGAACGUCGAUCGAUACUGCUGUUCUUGAGGAUUGCAGAGGAGACUGGAAUUCCCGGUGUAGCGGUGAAAUGUGUAGAGAUCGGGAGGAACACCGGUGGCGAAGGCGGGUCUCUGGGCAAUUCCUGACGCUGAAGCGCGAAAGCUAGGGGAGCGAACGGG
rnacentral:rRNA from 1 species